UGGGCGUAAGCGCGCGCAGGUGGUUUCUUAAGUCUGAUGUGAAAGCCCACGGCUCUACCGUGGAGGGUCAUUGGAAACUGGGAGACUUGAGUGCCCAAGAGGAAAGUGGAAUUCCAUGUGUAGCGGUGAAAUGCGUAGAGAUAUGGAGGAACACCAGUGGCGAAGGCGACUUUCUGGUCUGUAACUGACACUGAGGCGCGAAAGCGUGGGGAGCAAACAGGAUUAGAUACCCUGGUAGUCCACGCCGUACACGAUGAGUGCUAAGUGUUAGAGGGUUUCCUCCCUUUCCUGCUGAAGUUAACGCAUUAAUCACUCCCCCU
rnacentral:rRNA from 1 species